rnacentral:rRNA from 1 species
GGCCGUAACUAUAACGGUCCUAAGGUAGCGAAAUUCCUUGUCGGGUAAGUUCCGACCUGCACGAAUGGCGUAAUGAUGGCCAGGCUGUCUCCACCCGAGACUCAGUGAAAUUGAACUCGCUGUGAAGAUGCAGUGUACCCGCGGCAAGACGGAAAGACCCCGUGAACCUUUACUAUAGCUUGACACUGAACAUUGAGCCUUGAUGUGUAGGAUAGGUGGGAGGCUUYGAAGCGUGGACGCCAGUCUGCGUGGAGCCAACCUUGAAAUACCACCCUUUAAUGUUUGAUGUUCUAACGUUGCCCCAUUAUCUGGGGUGCGGACAGUGUCUGGUGGGUAGUUUGACUGGGGCGGUCUCCUCCCAAAGAGUAACGGAGGAGCACGAAGGUUGGCUAAGCAUGGUCGGACAUCAUGCGGUUAGUGCAAAGGCAUAAGCCAGCUUGACUGCGAGAGUGACGGCUCGAGCAGGUACGAAAGUAGGUCUUAGUGAUCCGGUGGUUCUGAAUGGAAGGGCCAUCGCUCAACGGAUAAAAGGUACUCCGGGGAUAACAGGCUGAUACCGCCCAAGAGUUCAUAUCGACGGCGGUGUUUGGCACCUCGAUGUCGGCUCAUCACAUCCUGGGGCUGAAGUAGGUCCCAAGGGUACGGCUGUUCGCCGUUUAAAGUGGUACGCGAGCUGGGUUUAGAACGUCGUGAGACAGUUCGGUCCCUAUCUGCCGUGGGCGUUGGAAGAUUGAAAGGGGCUGCUCCUAGUACGAGAGGACCGGAGUGGACGCACCACUGGUGUUCGGGUUGUCAUGCCAAUGGCAUUGCCCGGUAGCUAAGUGCGGAAGAGAUAACCGCUGAAAGCAUCUAAGCGGGAAACUUGCCUUGAGAUGAGUCUUCCCUGACUCUUUAAGGGUCCUAAAGGAACGUUUAAGACUAAGACGUUGAUAGGUUGGGUGUGUAAGCGUAGCGAUACGUUGAGCUAACCAAUACUAAUGAACCGUGAGGCUUAACCUG